GACGAACGCUGGCGGCGUGCUUAACACAUGCAAGUCGAACGGAAAGGCCCUGCUUUUGUGGGGUGCUCGAGUGGCGAACGGGUGAGUAACACGUGAGUAACCUGCCCUUGACUUUGGGAUAACUUCAGGAAACUGGGGCUAAUACCGGAUAGGAGCUCCUGCUGCAUGGUGGGGGUUGGAAAGUUUCGGCGGUUGGGGAUGGACUCGCGGCUUAUCAGCUUGUUGGUGGGGUAGUGGCUUACCAAGGCUUUGACGGGUAGCCGGCCUGAGAGGGUGACCGGCCACAUUGGGACUGAGAUCCGGCCCAGACUCCUACGGGAGGCAGCAGUGGGGAAUAUUGCACAAUGGGCGGAAGCCUGAUGCAGCAACGCCGUGUGCGGGAUGACGGCCUUCGGGUUGUAAACCGCUUUCGCCUGUGACGAAGCGUGAGUGACGGUAAUGGGUAAAGAAGCACCGGCUAACUACGUG
rnacentral:rRNA from 1 species